rnacentral:rRNA from 1 species
CAGCAGCCGCGGUAAUACCGGCGGCCCGAGUGGCGGUCACUAUUAUUGGGCUUAAAGCGUCCGUAGCCGGGUUGGGAAGGCCUCCGGGAAAUCUGGCCGCUUAACGGUCAGAAUGCCGGAGGAUACUCCCAGCCUAGGGAGCGGGAGAGGCCGAGGGGAUUCCCGGAGGAGGGGGGAAAUCCUAUAAUCCCGGGAGGACCACCUGUGGCGAAGGCGCUCGGCUGGAACGCGUCCGACGGUGAGGGACGAAGGCCAGGGGAGCAAACCGGAUUAGAUACCCGGGUAGUCCUGGCUGUAAACGAUGCGGACUUUGUGUCGGACAAGCUAUGAGCUUGUCCGGUGCCGGAGGGAAACCGUUAAGUCCGCCGCCUGGGGAGUACGGCCGCAAGGCUGAAACUUAAAGGAAUUGGCGGG